rnacentral:rRNA from 1 species
UACGUAGGUGGCGAGCGUUAUCCGGAUUUACUGGGCGUAAAGAGCGCGCAGGCGGUCGUUCAAGUCGCGUGUGAAAGCCCCCGGCUCAACUGGGGAGGGUCACGCGAUACUGAUCGACUCGAAGGCAGGAGAGGGUAGUGGAAUUCCCGGUGUAGUGGUGAAAUGCGUAGAUAUCGGGAGGAACACCAGUGGCGAAGGCGACUACCUGGCCUGUUCUUGACGCUGAGGCGCGAAAGCUGGGGGAGCAAACGGG